AGCAGCCGCGGUAAUUCCAGCUCCAAUAGCGUAUAUUAAAGUUGUUGCAGUUAAAAAGCUCGUAGUUGAAUUUCGGGAUCAAGGGAUCGGUCAUGCCUUGGUAUGCACUGGUUUCAUUGGUUCUCACCUUCUAAAGAACCAUGAUGUCAUUCAUUUGAUGUUAUGGGGAAUUAGGACUGUUACCUUGAAAAAAUUAGAGUGUUUAAAGCAGGCUUACGCUUGAAUACAUUAGCAUGGAAUAAUGAAAUAGGACAUCCGAUUCUAUUUUGUUGGUUUCUAGGAUCGAUGUAAUGAUUAAUAGGGAUAGUUGGGGGCAUUAGUAUUCAAUUGUCAGAGGUGAAAUUCUUGGAUUUAUUGAAGACUAACUACUGCGAAAGCAUUUGCCAAGGAUGUUUUCAUUAAUCAAGAACGAAAGUUAGGGGAUCGAAGACGAUCAGAUACCGUCGUAGUCUUAACCAUAAACUAUGCCGACUAGGGAUCGGAUGAUGUUAAUUUUAUAAUGACUCAUUCGGCACCUUACG
rnacentral:rRNA from 1 species